rnacentral:rRNA from 1 species
AGGACGAACGCUGGCGGCGCGCUUAACACAUGCAAGUCGAGCGAGAACCAGUCCUUCGGGACUGGGGACAGCGGCGAACGGGUGAGUAACACGUGGGUAAUCGACCCUUGGUACUGGGAUAGCCCGGGGAAACCCGGAUUAAUACCGGAUGGCCCAGCAGCUCUUCGGGGCGGCUGGAAAAGGUAGCUUCGGCCUCCGACCAAGGACGAGCCCGCGGCGGAUUAGCUUGUUGGCGGGGUAACGGCCCACCAAGGCGACGAUCCGUAGCUGGUCUGAGAGGACGAUCAGCCACACUGGGACUGAGACACGGCCCAGACUCCUACGGGAGGCAGCAGUGGGGAAUCUUGCGCAAUGGGCGAAAGCCUGACGCAGCGACGCCGCGUGGGGGAAGAAGGCUUUCGGGUUGUAAACCCCUUUCAGGAAGGACGAAGCUACUCGGGUUAAUAGCCCAGAGGGUGACGGUACUUCCAGAAGAGCCCCGGCUAACUACGUGCCAGCAGCCGC